ensembl:lncRNA
UAUUUCUCCAGCUACCGAUGCUAGCUGGCUAGUUUAGCUAGUACUGCUGAUUGAAGGAUUAGCUGCAAAAGAAACUACAAGAAGAGAGCACUUUACUCUCCGCCCAGCUCACAAUCCAAAGAGCAUCUUUCCAGAUUUGUUCCCUGUUCCUUUGACUCUGACACUAUGCAGCUGAAUCACCUCCUCCGGACUCUUUGCCUUAUAGGCUCAGUAAUCCUGUGUGUAGCCGUUACCACCGCUGCACCACAAACCACCGUUGCACCACCCACUGCUGCACCACAAACCACCGUUGCACCACCCACUGCUGCACCACAAACCACCGUUGCACCACCCACCGCUGCACCACAAACCACCGUUGCACCACCCACCGCUGCACCACAAACCACCGUUGCACCACCCACCGCUGCACCACAAACCACCGUUGCACCACCCACCGCUGCACCACAAACCACCGUUGCACCACCCACCGCUGCACCACAAACCACCGUUGCACCACCCACUGCUGCACCACAAACCACCGUUGCACCACCCACCGCUGCACCACAAACCACCGUUGCACCACAAACCACCGCUGACGGUGGACCAACCACCGCUGCCGGUGAACCAACCACCGUGGUGGUCGAAGGAGGAGAAGAGCUUUCAUCUGGCGCUAUAGCCGGUAUUACCAUCGGCUCCAUCGCUGGGGUGGCUGCUGUUGGUGGUGGUAUUUUUGGCUUGCUGAAGUUCACCGGGAGGGUCUGAGACCAGUUACUGCCAAACGUGGAUGGUUAUGGAUUGUAAACUAAAAACAUUUUCCAUCUGAAAAUCAAGCAGAUUAAAUCUUGACCUUUUAACCGGACUAUGAAAACAUACUUGAUGUCUGAGAGGCUCAUAUCAGAUACUGACAUGGGCCAAGAGGAAGACAGAAAAGUACAUUUCUCUACUUUUCUAUUUUUGAUUGUCAGGAAAUAAUCUCGAGCUGAUCCAAAAACUUUAAAUUUUGAUAGAUGUACAUUAUAUUGUUCCUGUUUUUGCAGAUAACAGAAACAUAAUAUAUCUAACUGUGGUGUUUUGGAUUUAAAUAUGUAGGGUAGCUUACAAUAAUGAGCCAGAUAUGUUUAAUAACUUUUUUACUAGGGUAGUCUAUGUGUGCGAAGAACAUGCAGAGUUUUCAGAGAAACAUAAGUUCAGAUCAUAUCAGACCUCAGCGCAAUCAUUUGGUUGAUUAUUGACGUUAUUUUAUCAUUAACUGGACUUUUGAACUGCAAGGCUGUAUUUACUUAGAUAAACUGCUUUGAAAUGACUUAACAACUGUCCCAUCUUCCUCUUAAUAAACUUUUUUCUAAUAUAGCAAUGACUCAAGCAGUCUGUCUAAAGUAUUAUUAUUUAAGUAUACCUCCUUGUUAACUUGAGCUGUUUGUUCAUUUUAUGAGUUAUGAGGGUACAUAAUGAUUAACGCCUGGCUUCUUCUGCGGGUUGCUUUCUACACGUUUAUUGCAUUCUCCAGGGAGUUCUUGAGACCUCAGACAAAACAGUAAAUGGAUUGGCUCUCCGUUUAUAGCAUUGAGGUUUUGAUCAAAAUGCAAAAAAAAGAGAGUACAAAUGCUUGCUAAUAACCAGGAAACAGACUGUUAAGAAGGAAUGGAUUGCCACAGACACACUGACAAUGUCUCAAAAUGUGUUUGCAAAUAAAUGUUACCCUAACCAAACUCCAUUCAGAAAACAAGCGUUUUAAAAGUUGUUUGCUCGUCGUCUUGUGGACAGACCGAAUAAAGCAUGAAUUCAGAUCAAAAUCGGUAUCAUGUAAUUAUUUUGGCAUCCUUUUGAUUAUUUCAAUUACAUCUCAACAAAAUC